GCGUGGUCAAAGCGUGGUACAAUCCAAGACGGUCUUCGGAACCGAGGGUUACAGGUUCGAAUCCUGUCGGGC
rnacentral:tRNA from 2 species